UACGUAGGGAGCAAGCGUUGUCCGGAAUCAUUGGGCGUAAAGCGCGCGUAGGUGGCCUCGUAAGUCCGCUGUGAAAGUCAAAGGCUCAACCUUUGAAAGCCGGUGGAUACUGUAGGGCUAGAGUACGGAAGAGGCGAGUGGAAUUCCUGGUGUAGCGGUGGAAUGCGCAGAUAUCAGGAGGAACACCAAUAGCGAAGGCAGCUCGCUGGGACGUUACUGACACUGAGGCGCGAAAGCGUGGGGAGCGAACAGG
rnacentral:rRNA from 1 species